UUGGGAAUCUUCGGCAAUGGGCGCAAGCCUGACCGAGCAACGCCGCGUGAGUGAUGAAGGUUUUCGGAUUGUAAAGCUCUGUCUUCAGGGACGAUAAUGACGGUACCGGAGGAGGAAGCCUUGGCUAACAACGUGCCAUCAGCCGAAGAAAUAAA
rnacentral:rRNA from 1 species